GUGAGGAAUAUUGGUCAAUGGACGGAAGUCUGAACCAGCCAUGCCGCGUGCAGGAUGACGGCCCUAUGGGUUGUAAACUGCUUUUACACGGGGAUAAAGUGUGCGACGUGUCGUUCAUUGCAGGUACCGUGCGAAUAAGGACCGGCUAAUUCCGUGCCAGCAGCCGCGGUAAUACGGAAGGUCCGGGCGUUAUCCGGAUUUAUUGGGUUUAAAGGGAGCGUAGGCCGUCUGUUAAGCGUGUUGUGAAAUGUAGAUGCUCAACAUCUGAAGUGCAGCGCGAACUGAACGACUUGAGUGCGCAGGAAGUAGGCGGAAUUCGUGGUGUAGCGGUGAAAUGCUUAGAUAUCACGAAGAACUCCGAUUGCGAAGGCAGCUUACUGUAGCGCCACUGACGCUGAAGCUCGAAAGUGCGGGUAUCGAACAGGAUUAGAUACCCGGGUAGUCC
rnacentral:rRNA from 1 species